CAGUCGCCACGGGAACACGGAGGAUCCAAGCGUUAUCCGGAUUUAUUGGGUUUAAAGGGUGCGUAGGUGGCCUGUUAAGUCAGGGGUGAAAGACGGUAGCUCAACUAUCGCAGUGCCCUUGAUACUGAUGGGCUUGAAUGAACUAGAGGUAGGCGGAAUGUGACAAGUAGCGGUGAAAUGCAUAGAUAUGUCACAGAACACCAAUUGCGAAGGCAGCUUACUAUGGUUUUAUUGACACUGAGGCACGAAAGCGUGGGGAUCAAACAGGAUUAGAUACCCCCGUAGUCCCUGUCUCUUAUAC
rnacentral:rRNA from 1 species